AUUUUUUAAUUCAUGCAGGCAUGACUGUUGAGGGCAGCAAGAAAGUUCUCUGGAAACAUAUAUAGAAAUGAAGGAUGAUCUUAUAAAGGUGGCAGCUGACCUCCAAAGAAAAGACCUGGAAGAGGAAGCAUUUGUGGAGAACCACAAAUUUUUAACGUGAGAGCUUGCUGUUCCCAUCUCCUAUCCUGUCACUGACCCCUCACUACUCAUGUCCUCCUCUUCAUGCUUCUGUCCUGCGCUGACCUUAAGGAACUUGACAAAGACAUGUCUUAGACUGAUUUCUGGCAACUCACACACAUGCUUUUCCUUACUAUUCAAAGAGAUCAGGACCCAAGGUGGUGGUAUCACAAACAAGGCAUUUCAAGAGUAGUUCAUAAGCUUGUGCCACAUGGCCCAGAUUUUAGGGGAAAACCUGGAAGGAAAGCAUGAUGUCUGAAUUUGUGAGUGUGUUGAGUGCACUAUCUAAACACAGGCAUUCAGCCACAGGCUUGUUACUGUGUGUGCCAGAUCACAGAAUUAUCCUCCCUUAAUCCUGUAGUCUACUGAUUAGGAUAAGAAAGCGGUUAGCCUUCUCUGUAGCUACACAGUCACCAAAGGACUGUGCACUAUCUGGGGUCAAUGUGGCUCAGCACAGUCCCUGGGCUGCUCAAUGUAAUUGGGUAGGCAGAAUAAAUACAAGGUGGCAGAGCUGUCACAUGAAAUGACACUAAUAUCCUCAGUGAUAAGAAUGUUCUGUGUUUGAAGAAGAAAUGAUCAUAAAGGUCUCACCCCUCAUGCUUAGCAUGAGUUUGGCGAAACAGAACCUAAGGGGAUAUGUGCAGGUGACUCUAUGGUGCCAGGCACUGGGGAAUAAUGUGUGGACAUGACAUCAUUGAUCUUCAGAAGACUGUGUGUGCUGAGCAGGCACAUUGCCCUCACAUUCUACAAAGUAAAAGAAAGCUCAGACGUAAACAUGAACUCACACACCACAGGUCACAAUUCUAAGAGCAUGGCUUCUUUGGUUUUUCAUCGUUGGUAUUCUGCAAGGUGAAGGCAAAUCUAGUGACUACACUAAAUAUCGCUCUCAUUGCCUCUCCUAUGCAAAGACAACUAACGUUUACUAUGGUACUUCUGUGCGUUAAGCAGACAUCAGUUUGUCACACUGAUUUUCAGUCCCACCCUCCACUCAAGAAUAUUUCUUGUUUCUUGGACAGACAAGAUUGUUGACACAGAUUACUAGUCUGUGUUGUUGUGGUAUCUGACUAUGCUCCACUGCACAGCUCCCCACAGCCUCUAUGUACCCACAGUGUCUCCUUUCUCUACCUAUUGCUCUCAGAGGUGAGGUUGUGCCCUCCUGGAGUCAAUGCACUGUGUUUUUGUUUACAGCAAACAUCCAUGUACUUAUUGGGGGUGGAAGAAUGAGACCACUCUCUGUAUCCUGUUUUGAAGUUCAGGAGGAUGGUCUGAUUCUUCACACUCCUGUGAGUUCACUAACUCUAUCUGUGCUCUACGGAGUGCUCGGAAGACAAGCAUGCACCAUGUCGGCUUUCAUGUACUUCUUGAUGGCUGAUGUUUCCUAAAUGUACCAGCUGAUGGAAGAGUGAGUACUAUUCUCUCUCCAGACCCUGGGAGGGAAAAGGAUGUGGGACUUCAGGAUUUGCCUCUUCUUGCUCCAAGACAUUCUGAAAAUGCAUAGAGAGCCCUAAUUUCUUCAGGGUAUCACUUAUACAUUUGGACCAUCUCUACACACCAUGGUCACUCUGCUUUAUUCCUUUAGACUCUUUGUGGCCAGAAACUCAGAAAAGGCCCUCAAUAGCCCAACUCCAUUUCCAAGGCAACAAGAUCCAAAAUCAAUAAGACUAUAAAUAGAGUCUUUGAUAUUGCUGAGACGCUGAAGAGCAAACUGCUGAGACAAUACAACAAGGAAUAUGCAGGUUUCCUGUCAGAUAAG